GACGAACGCUGGCGGCGUGCCUAAUACAUGCAAGUAGAACGCACAGUUUAUACCGUAGCUUGCUACACCAUAGACUGUGAGUUGCGAACGGGUGAGUAACGCGUAGGUAACCUGCCUGGUAGCGGGGGAUAACUAUUGGAAACGAUAGCUAAUACCGCAUAAUAUUGAUUAUUGCAUGAUAAUUAAUUGAAAGGUGCAAUUGCACCACUACCAGAUGGACCUGCGUUGUAUUAGCUAGUAGGUGAGGUAACGGCUCACCUAGGCGACGAUACAUAGCCGACCUGAGAGGGUGAUCGGCCACACUGGGACUGAGACACGGCCCAGACUCCUACGGGAGGCAGCAGUAGGGAAUCUUCGGCAAUGGACGAAAGUCUGACCGAGCAACGCCGCGUGAGUGAAGAAGGGUUUCGGAUCGGAAAGCUCUGUUGUAAGAGAAGAACGGGUGUGAGAGUGGAAAGUUCACACUGUGACGGUAUCUUACCAGAAAGGGACGGCUAACUACGUG
rnacentral:rRNA from 1 species